GUAGGUGGCAAGCGUUGUCCGGAAUUAUUGGGCGUAAAGCGCGCGCAGGCGGUCCUUUAAGUCUGAUGUGAAAGCCCACGGCUCAACCGUGGAGGGUCAUUGGAAACUGGGGGACUUGAGUACAGAAGAGGAAAGCGGAAUUCCAAGUGUAGCGGUGAAAUGCGUAGAGAUUUGGAGGAACACCAGUGGCGAGGGCGGCUUUCUGGUCUGUAACUGACGCUGAGGCGCGAAAGCGUGGGGAGCAAACAGGGAUUAGAUACCCUGGUAGUCCACGCCGUAAACGAUGAGUGCUAAGUGUUAGGGGGUUUCCCGCCCCUUAGUGCUGCAGCUAACGCAUUAAGCACUCCGCCUGGGGAGUACGGCCGCAAGGCUG
rnacentral:rRNA from 1 species